rnacentral:rRNA from 1 species
GAUGAACGCUGGCGGCGUGCCUAAUACAUGCAAGUCGAGCGAACAGACGAGGAGCUUGCUCCUCUGACGUUAGCGGCGGACGGGUGAGUAACACGUGGAUAACCUACCUAUAAGACUGGGAUAACUUCGGGAAACCGGAGCUAAUACCGGAUAAUAUAUUGAACCGCAUGGUUCAAUAGUGAAAGACGGUUUUGCUGUCACUUAUAGAUGGAUCCGCGCCGCAUUAGCUAGUUGGUAAGGUAACGGCUUACCAAGGCAACGAGGCGUAGCCGACCUGAGAGGCUGGUAGGCCACACUGGAACUGAGACACGGUCCAGACUACUACGGGACGCAGCAGUAGGCAAUCUUACGCAGUGGGCGAAAGUCUGACGGAGCAGCGCCGCGUGAGUGAUGGAGAUCUUCGGAUCGUAAUACUCUGUUAUUAGGUAAGAGCAACUGUGUAAGGAAAUAUGCACGUAUUGACGGUAACUGGUCAGAAAGCCACGGCUAACUACGUG